rnacentral:rRNA from 1 species
GCAAGUCGAACGGUAGGAAGGUGCUUGCACCUUCUGAGAGUGGCGGACUGGUGAGUAACACGUUGGUGACAUGCCUUUUAUUUGGGGAUAACUGCUUGUAACAGUAGAUAAUACCGAAUAAUAUCUCUUGUGUUAGAGGCAAGAGAGGAAAGGAGCUAAGGCUCCGCUGAAAGAUUGGCCCGCGGUCCAUUAGCUAGUGGGUAAGGUAAGAGCUUACCAAGGCGAUGAUGGAUAUCCGGCCUGAGAGGGUGAGC